UGGGGAAUAUUGGACAAUGGGGGCAACCCUGAUCCAGCAAUGCCGCGUGUGUGAAGAAGGCCUGCGGGUUGUAAAGCACUUUCAGUAGAGAAGAAAAGCUCAUGGUUAAUACCCGUGAGUCUUGACGUAACCUACAGAAGAAGCACCGGCUAACUCCGUGCCAGCAGCCGCGGUAAUACGGAGGGUGCGAGCGUUAAUCGGAAUUACUGGGCGUAAAGCGCGCGUAGGCGGUUUUGUAAGUCGGAUGUGAAAGCCCAGGGCUUAACCUUGGAAUUGCAUUCGAUACUGCUGAACUAGAGUAUGGUAGAGGGAAGUGGAAUUUCCGGUGUAGCGGUGAAAUGCGUAGAUAUUCGGAAGAACACCAGUGGCGAAGGCGACUCACUGGCACAUUUCUGACGCUGAGGUGCGAAAGCGUGGGGAGCAAACAGGAUUAGAUACCCCCGUAGUCC
rnacentral:rRNA from 1 species